rnacentral:misc_RNA from 1 species
UCACCGUUUACACGGGCAGUUUCUCUAGAGUCCCCGGCAUUACCCGCUGGCAACUAGAGAUGGGGGUUGCGCUCGUUAUGGGACUUAACCCGACACCUCACGGCACGAGCUGACGACAGCCAUGCAGCACCUGUGAACGAGCUCCGAAGAGAACCGGACGUCUCUGCCCGGCGUCUCGUCCAUGUCAAGCCCAGGUAAGGUUCUUCGCGUUGCGUCGAAUUAAACCACAUGCUCCACCGCUUGUGCGGGCCCCCGUCAAUUCCUUUGAGUUUCAGCCUUGCGGCCGUACUCCCCAGGCGGGGCACUUACUGCGUUAGCGACGGCACUCAGGGGGUCGCUCCCCCAAGCACCUAGUGCCCAUCGUUUACGGCGUGGACUAC